GGUCGACGAGUGGCGGACCGGGUUGAGUAAUGUCUGGGAAACUGCCUGAUGGAGGGGGAUAACUACUGGAAACGGUAGCUAAUACCGGCAUAACGUCGCAAGACCAAAGAGGGGGACCUUCGGGCCUCUUGCCAUCAGAUGUGCCCAGAUGGGAUUAGCUAGUAGGUGGGGUAACGGCUCACCUAGGCGACGAUCCCUAGCUGGUCUGAGAGGAUGACCAGCCACACUGGAACUGAGACACGGUCCAGACUCCUACGGGAGGCAGCAGUGGGGAAUAUUGCACAAUGGGCGCAAGCCCUGAUGCAGCCAUGCCGCGUGUAUGGAGAAGGCCUUCUGGUUGUAACGUACUUUCAACGGCGAGGAACGUGAUAAGUUACUAAUCUUAUCAAUUGACGUUAACCCGCCGAAGGAGGCACCCCUUC
rnacentral:rRNA from 1 species